UACGUAGGGUGCAAGCGUUGUCCGGAAUUAUUGGGCGUAAAGAGCUCGUAGGUGGCCUGUCGCGUCGGCUGUGAAAACUCGGGGCUCAACUCCGAGCUUGCAGUCGAUACGGGCAGGCUAGAGUUCGGCAGGGGAGACUGGAAUUCCUGGUGUAGCGGUGGAAUGCGCAGAUAUCAGGAGGAACACCGGUGGCGAAGGCGGGUCUCUGGGCCGUUACUGACGCUGAGGAGCGAAAGCGUGGGGAGCGAACAGG
rnacentral:rRNA from 1 species